rnacentral:rRNA from 1 species
UGACGUCAAACCAUCAUGCCCCUUAUGACCUGGGCUACACACGUGCUACAAUGGGCGGUACAAAGGGUCGCGAACCCGCAGGGGAGCCAAUCCCAAAAAGCCGCUCUCAGUUCGGAUUGCAGGCUGCAACUCGCCUGCAUGAAGCCGGAAUCGCUAGUAAUCGCGGAUCAGCAUGCCGCGGUGAAUACGUUCCCGGGCCUU